AUGCCAACUCUCUGCAGGAACAUUCAUGACAGGAGCUUCAUGGAAAAGCAAGCAUGGGGCCUGCUCUCUCAACCAGGUGUCCCUGGGGACUUAAUCCUCCUGGGCUGAGCCCCACUCAUCACAUGGGAAUUUAAAAUGCAGGAGUCCUCUGAGGCCAUCGCCACCAUGCUGUGAUAACUCUGUGGAGCUGACUGGCUGGAUUCUUGAUGGUGCUACGUUUGGUUGAAAGCCCAGGAACUCUCCAGGUCUAAGCUGAGCACAGCUCUUACCAGGACCCAAUAGCUGCUGAGCCUGGAUACCCAGAGAAGAAGGUAGUAUUUCUAAGUAUUUGUUUGAU
rnacentral:lncRNA from 1 species